AUGAAUGUUGAUGCUGCGUUAUCUCGCAAUGGUGAAAGGGGAGCCCUGGCAGUUGUGAGCCGGGAUAAUACAGGCUUCUUCCUUGGAGCUUCGGCACUGGUGUGUGCAAGUGUCAUUGAUCCAGAGAUCCUAGAGGCAAUAGCAUGUUGCGAGGGGCUAUCUCUGGCUCUCGACUUAAACCUGCAACAAGUUCAGAUUAGCACCGAUUGUUCAGCAACAGUCAAGCACAUCGGAGAGGCAUACUUGGGGCCCAGCAAAGUUAUUAUAGACGAGAUCAAGAUGAAGAAGAAUAUGUUCCAAACCGUGGACAUCGUACAUGAAAAUCGCAAGUGUAAUUUUGAAGCGCAUAGGCUCGCAAAAGCUGCUACCUCUCUGCCCUGUGGACGCCAUCGAACCCCCGAAAUUACUUGUAUACUUAUGACUGUUAAUCUUUAG
rnacentral:rRNA from 1 species